AUUGAACGCUGGCGGCAUGCUUUACACAUGCAAGUCGAACGGCAGCGCGGGCUUCGGCCUGGCGGCGAGCGGCGAACGGGUGAGUAAUACAUCGGAACGUGCCCAGUAGUGGGGGAUAGCUCGGCGAAAGCCGGAUUAAUACCGCAUACGACCUGAGGGUGAAAGCGGGGGAUCUUCGGACCUCGCGCUAUUGGAGCGGCCGAUGGCAGAUUAGCUAGUUGGUGGGGUAAAGGCCUACCAAGGCGACGAUCUGUAGCUGGUCUGAGAGGACGACCAGCCACACUGGGACUGAGACACGGCCCAGACUCCUACGGGAGGCAGCAGUGGGGAAUUUUGGACAAUGGGCGAGAGCCUGAUCCAGCAAUGCCGCGUGUGUGAUGAAGGCCUUCGGGUUGUAAAGCACUUUUGGCGGGAACGAAAAGGACUGUGCCAAUACCACGGUUCGAUGACGGUACCCGCAGAAUAAGCACCGGCUAACUACGUG
rnacentral:rRNA from 1 species